rnacentral:rRNA from 1 species
UAGGGAAUUUUCGGCAAUGGGCGAAAGCCUGACCGAGCAACGCCGCGUGAGUGAUGAAGGCCUUCGGGUUGUAAAGCUCUGUUGUAAGGGAAGAACUGUCAGUAUAGGAAAUGAUACUGAAAUGACGGUACCUUACCAGAAAGCCACGGCUAACUACGUGCCAGCAGCCGCGGUAAUACGUAGGUGGCAAGCGUUAUCCGGAAUUAUUGGGCGUAAAGGGUGCGUAGAUGGUUUAUUAAGUCUAAUGUGAAAGUUCGGGGCUCAACUCCGGAUUGCAUUAGAAACUGAUAGACUAGAGUACAGGAGGGGGCAAUGGAAUUCCAUGUGUAGCGGUAAAAUGCGUAGAUAUAUGGAGGAACACCAGUGGCGAAGGCGGUUGCCUGGCCUGAAACUGACGUUGAGGCACGAAAGCGUGGGGAGCAAAUAGG